AGACUAAUACCCAAUGACGUCUCUAGAAGACAUCUGAAAGAGAUUAAAGAUUUAUCGGUGAUGGAUGGGGAUGCGUCUGAUUAGCUUGUUGGCGGGGUAACGGCCCACCAAGGCGACGAUCAGUAGGGGUUCUGAGAGGAAGGUCCCCCACAUUGGAACUGAGACACGGUCCAAACUCCUACGGGAGGCAGCAGUGAGGAAUAUUGGUCAAUGGGCGAGAGCCUGAACCAGCCAAGUAGCGUGCAGGAAGACGGCCCUAUGGGUUGUAAACUGCUUUUAUAAGGGAAUAAAGUGAGACUCGUGAGACUUUUUGCAUGUACCUUAUGAAUAAGGACCGGCUAAUUCCGUGCCAGCAGCCGCGGUAAUACGGAAGGUCCGGGCGUUAUCCGGAUUUAUUGGGUUUAAAGGGAGCGUAGGCCGGAGAUUAAGCGUGUUGUGAAAUGUAGACGCUCAACGUCUGCACUGCAGCGCGAACUGGUUUCCUUGAGUACGCACAAAGUGGGCGGGAUUCGUGGUGUAGCGGUGAAAUGCUUAGAUAUCACGAAGAACUCCGAUUGCGAAGGCAGCUCACUGGAGCGCAACUGACGCUGAAGCUCGAAAGUGCGGGUAUCGAACAGGAUUAGAUACC
rnacentral:rRNA from 1 species